ensembl:piRNA 21ur-2608 ncRNA
UAAGUUCAUCAUCGGAAAACG